GCGGCUUGGAUUUUCAUUUCUUAUUAGUUACUUAGGAUAUCAAAUCGGAUAUUUACGAAUGAUCUAUGCUGGCGGAUGAAAGUGUCAAACGGGGGAGAUGGCUUUGCAUCCCAGGUCUCCACUACUGCUCUUCCGGAUCAUUUUGUUUCUCUCUGCAGUUUUCGCAGGUGGCUUCAACCCAUGUUAGGGAGACCUCCUUAGACCUCAAUGGGCACUACAAUUAUACCUGUCCCAUAUCGAUUGCCGGGUUGAGACUGUCACCCACAUCCAUGACGAUGUCGGUCCGUAGCACCUGGUGAUCCCCAGUCAAGCAGUCAAUCUCCACUUCAGAGACCGCCACACCGUAUACGAAGUAGGCAUAGGGAUCCCCCUUCCCUUUCUCCCAGUCGAAGUACAGAUCACGCGCCCUGCCGAAUCCCGUGGAUGACAGACUGAUGCGGUCUUUGUACGCGGCGUCGACCCAGCUCUCCCAGGUACCUUUGGGAUUGUCUUGGAUGAACGGUUCUAGUCGGUGCAGGAGUGUUUCACAAGCCUCCUUGAUGGCCAUGCCGUUGAGAUCGGAGCUGAAGCUGGCAGCAGUCGAGGAGGUGUUCGGCACUUGGCUGGUGUUGGUCUCAUUAAUGUGAAUCUUCUCCUGAGGAAUCCUCAGCGUCCUGCUAGCUACUUGGAUCAUCUUGGUGUGCAACCCUUGACCCAUCUCGGUACCUCCAUGGGAAACCAGGACUGAACCAUCGUUGUAGAUGUGCACCAACGCACCGGCCUGGAACAGUCCGAACAAAACAAUUCAUGAAUUGUGCCCGAAAUGGCCCUAUUGAGGUUCAGAAGUUGUGUCGAAUGGGGUUCACAGUUGUGGCUCAAUUGGGACUCUGCAUUUAGGAGUACAAACCUGGAGAAAACCUUUGCCCUUUGAGUGCAGGGCCAGGCUCAUUUUCUUUGAUGAAAUUUUAGAAGGUUCUGAAACCCCAGGAAUACGAAUCGUGCCCAGAUAUCCUCGAAGAAUCGUAUCCAACGGCGCCUAUAGGCGCCGUUGGAGCAACUCCAAGCAACUUUAUCCUAGAUUACAAAUCCCGACAUAGCUAAUAUGCUGAUCGUUUCUGAAACGUUAGUCUCCAGUAUAAUGUCGAACCAUACAACCUUAACUAAGAAUUUGUUGACUGACAUUAUAUGUAAUGACUACCUGAUUAUAGUAUUUGACGGUGAAGGAGAUACCAAACUUUGUCGGUGUAAUGGCCAGACCGCGCUUCCUCCAUCGAUUUUUACUGUGAAAAACAAACGAAAUACAAGAAGGCACCUUUCAGGUUACUUGUCGAAUUUGCAAUAAAAUAUCUAACUUAAUUGUAACAACCAUCGUUGAUAAUCUGUCAUCACGAGACGAACAAUCAGACAGACAUUGGCCUUGACUAAAAGAACGGAUAUAAAGGAAAGCCUAUA